GUGGAUUAGAUACCCUGGUAGUCCACGCCGUAAACGAUGAGAACUAGCCGUUGGAUCCCUUGAGGGUUUAGUGGCGUAGCUAACGCGAUAAGUUCUCCGCCUGGGGAGUACGGCCGCAAGGCUAAAACUCAAAUGAAUUGACGGGGGCCCGCACAAGCGGUGGAGCAUGUUGUUUAAUUCGAUGCAACGCGAAGAACCUUACCACCCCUUGACAUCCUCGGAACUUGGCAGAGAUGCCUUGGUGCCUUCGGGAACCGAGAGACAGGUGCUGCACGGCCGUCGACAGCU
rnacentral:rRNA from 1 species